UCUGCAGACUAGAGGAGUGGCUCGAGUGGUGCACCUAUUCUUGCUUAGGAAUGGAGGCGAAGCGGCCUGACCCAAGAAAGACAAUAAGGAGCCUUGAGUCUGAAACUGAUCAUUUAUUAUCAAGAGCACAGUAUCUUGGUACUGCUAGUCAUGGAGUGUUUGAGAAAGGAAUGGUAAUAAAAAGAUCUAAAAGGAAAAGACGUUUUUUAGCCUGUCUCCUCUCCUGUUGCUGCUGCCGUAAAUGUAUUGGAAUCAAUUAAAUCAAACAAUAACUUUAAUCACUGAUAACUAUAAUAAUAAUAAUAAAUUAUUCUUUAUUUUAUCAAAAAAGGGGCAACACAUUUCAUUGCAAAAGCACCUCUGAAAUGAGGACACCUUUUGAUGUCCCAAUUGGUACAAACCUAUACAAAAGUAUCAACACCUCUGUAUUAAGGACAGGUAGUGUUUUUUCUGUCAUAUCUCAAAUGACACGAAAAAUGUUUAAAAAAGGUUGUCAAUAAAUCCUUAUAAUAAUUACUAAAAUUAAGAGUGGGUGGAGAUGUUUUUGCAUAAUAAUAAUAAUGUGAAGUAAGUUACACGAUAAUAAUAAUAAUAAUAAUAUAAUGUAUAAGAAAUUAUAAGAUGAGAGAGAGAGAGAGAGAAAUUGAAGACUACACCAUUGCUCUACAAAAAGAGUUAAUACACAAUACAGAGAUGGAGAGAGAAAGAAGCCUGCUAUUUUGAUGUAUAUAUAAAUACA